UACGGAGGGUGCAAGCGUUAAUCGGGAUUACUGGGCGUAAAGCGCACGCAGGCGGUUGGAUAAGUUAGAUGUGAAACCCCCGGGCUCAACCUGGGAAUUGCAUUUAAAACUGUCCAGCUAGAGUCUUGUAGAGGGGGGUAGAAUUCCAGGUGUAGCGGUGAAAUGCGUAGAGAUCUGGAGGAAUACCGGUGGCGAAGGCGGCCCCCUGGACAAAGACUGACGCUCAGGUGCGAAAGCGUGGGGAGCAAACAGG
rnacentral:rRNA from 1 species